UUGACUGAGGCCAGACGAGAGGACGUGACUCGCUCUUCUGUCGCCGCCGCCGCCCCCGCCCCCAUCCUGCUGCCGUCCUCUCCGCGCCAAUCGCCGCCGUCUCCGCACCAGUCGCCGCUUUCUCCCAUACCGUAGUCGGCCCUCUCAUCGUGUCCCUCCUGCCUCCUUGCCACGCCCAGAAACCCCCGAAGCGAGCAGGACGCGUCGGGCUCGGCUCCGACGGGCCUCGCCGCCGGUCGUGGCUCUCCUCGUUCCUCGUCGAGCGCACCGAGGACGAGCAGGCAAGGCUCCCAUCUCCCGUCUCCCUCCCUUCCCCUCUUCCCAUCCGAGGCUCACCUCCAGGCCCUCCACCGACCACCAGUGCGGCACUCACCGGCACGGGCAUGGCGGCACCUACGCGGUCAAUCACACGCACUCACGCAAAGCCGUUCGACGACGUUCCAAUCGACGGCGGCGAGCAAGGUGAGCGCACCAUCGACCAUCCCCCAUCUUUUCCCUUUUCCUCUCUGUUGAUAUAUGAUCCUGAUGUAUAUAGAGUGGUCCAAAAUGCGGUUGCUGUAAAAAAUCCAGUUGCUCUGAUGUAUUGAUCUAUUGAUGAUAUCCAAAAUUCAGUUGCUCUCAUGUAUUGAACGAUUGAUGCUGUCCAAAAUUCAGUUGAUCUGAUGUAUCGACUGAUUGAUGCACCCUGCUGUUUCCAAAAAUUCAGUGGCAUUGUAGUAUUUCCCUCUCCGAUGCGUUGACAUGUUAGUACUGUUGAAUUGACUGAACGCAUCAUUAGGGGGUGUCUGAUGUAUUGAUCUAAUCACAUCUAAGUUACCGGCUGACAAUUUUGAUGAAGAAAUUAGUACAAACUUUGCAGGAAAGAAUCAUUUUGCAAACACGGAAUAGGACCUAUUGCACGCAGAUUUAUUUUUCUUUCUUAUUUUUAAGAAAGUUAAAAAAGACUUGACACAUAGGAGCGCCUCCCAUUAUUUACUUUUGCGUCCACAUUUAGCAGGCAUCUUCCUGGUAGCCGCAGCAGUCAAGUCAAUUCUAAUUUACCAGCCAUGUGCAUCUUCCUGUUUGAAGGACAAGCACAGUAUGUAAAAUGCAUGACUUAAUGCAUGAUUUUUCCAGAGAUGUUAGCAAUGAAUGUGCCACCAUAGAAGAAUUGAUUGAACAUAAAGCAUUGGUAAAAAAUGUCCACCACCUGCAAAUAUCAACGGAUAAUUUGAAAAGGAUCUAUGGUUUGUUCGAUGGCAACACAUCUCCCCGCACUUUGUUUGCUCCUUCAUUGAUGUACCAAGACUUUAAACGGCUGUCACAUGCAUCAUUACGAGCAUUGCAUUGGCACGGUUUGUUUCACACCAGUUUCAGUUUCGCAAAUGCAAAACAUUUGCGGUAUCUUGACCUCUCCAAUUGUGACAUCAAUGCUAGAUUGCUAGAUUCAGUAUGCCUAUUGUAUAACCUGCAAACGUUGAGCCUGAAUUAUUGCACUAAGCUACAGCAGUUACCAGAAGACAUGAUGAUAAGCCUGAGAAAGCUCAUACAUCUUUAUCUUUAUGAAUGUGACAAGUUGGAGCGGAUGCCUCGAAACAUUGGCCAGCUGAACCACCUUCGCACACUAACAAGAUUUGUUGUGGAUAGUAGAGAGGGUUGUGGUAUUGAGGAACUCAAAGAUUUGAGACACCUUUGCAAUAGGAUGGAAUUGUACAACUUGAGGAAAAUAAAGAGUGUAAAGCACGCAAAAGAAGCCAAUCUCCAGCAGAAGCAAAAUCUGAGUGAGUUGUUGUUCUGUUGGGGCCUUGAAAGAUUUGACAGGACUGAAAAUGAGGCAUGUAAUGAGGAAGAAGUGUUCCAGCAUCUAGAACCUCAUAGCAAGAUCCAAUCUUUUGAGUUGUAUGGAUAUGGUGGCCCAGAAGUACCACGAUGGAUGAGAGACCAUCAGAUGUUUCAGUACUUAAGAAAACUCGCCAUUUCCAACUGGACAAGGUGUAAGAAUAUACCUGUAGUAUGGCUCUCACCCUCAGAGUACUUACACUUGCACAAUAUGGGUAAACUGAAGACAUUGUGUGAUAACCUUUGCAUAGAAGGUGGAGGAUGCAGUACCCCUCUACAAAUUUUCCCAAAGUUGAAGGCGAUGGCCUUGCGAAAGCUAUCUAGUCUAGAGGGAUGGGCAGAAAAUAGUGCGGGUGUGGCUAUUGAUAGCUCAGUAAUAUUCCCGGUGCUUGAGAAGCUAGAAAUCAGCAGCUGCCCUAAGGUUGCAAGUUUUCCACUGAGCCCCGUUCUCAAAGACCUGAGGGUUGCUCACAUUCCUGCAAUCAGCUCAAUCCUGGAGGGGAAGGCUUCAUUAUCCAACGAGACCCUUCCGCUGUCGCAGAUGGAGUGUUUUCCGAGGUUGCCCGCAAUCCUUGAAGUUUUGUGGAUUCAAGGUUUCCAAUGUUUGGUGGCGCUGCCUUCGAACCUUGGAGAUCUGGCAAAGCUGAGGGAGCUACGGCUGCAUAGCUGCAGCAGCCUGAAAAGGUUGCCUGAUGGGAUGGAUGGCCUCACUUCUCUCCGGGAAUCGGCGAUCAAAGCUUGUCCAGCGGUAGAGGAAUUCCCAAAUGAUCUCCUUGAGCGGUUACCAGCCCUUGACAACCUACGCAUAGCGGGCUGCCCCAAGUUGCAAAGACGAUGCAGAGAAGGCAUGGAGUAUUUCCACCACCUGGUCCAUAUCCCAGUUAAAUUGGGAUUCAGAACUGGAGCUCCAGAAGCAAAAGCAGAAUCCACAAUUAUAGUACCAGAAGCAGAAACCAGCGGAAAGAAGUUUUUAAGAAGGCUCCUCCCCUCCUGUGCUCACUCCAAGUCUGACUCUGGGUCUGAGGAUAACGGAGGAUUUGCUGAUUCCAAAAUCUUUUGAUCUUCGAUCCAUUGCCACAUUAUUUACACAUUAUUUGGACAAGUAUCUCCCAUUUUUGGACAAGUAUAUCUCAAGAAUCACCAAAAUUAGCAUAAAGAGAUGUUCCAGCUGGAGACGUUAAUUUUGUGCAAUUGUGGCUUACCGCAGGUUGCCAAUGAUAAUUUAUGAACCAUUUCAAGUUUUUCUUUUGCGGGGUAUAUCAACCAUUUCAAGUUGGAAUAGUUGAAAUACGUCGAAGCUCUGUAUGUUAGUGUUGUGAUGUAGUAAAAUCCAAGCUGUGAAGCAAAUCCUAUGAAUGUGUGCCCUGGUUGGCAUCUCUGAAAGCAUCCACAAAAUGAAGGAACCAAUGCCAUGAACGUCAAGCAAAGUCAGAACUCAUCACCACGGCAUGUGAUGACUGUAGUGUGGAAGUAGACUUAGUAGACUUAGUAGACUUAGUAGACCUUCGGGUCUUGUUAUGACAAAAUGCUUCCAUCAUCUUUGUCUGUAAUCGUCAGCAAAAUUGGUAUUCAGACUCGAUAAUUGUACCUGCAGGUUGGUAUUACUGAAAGCUUCCACAACAUGGAAGCAAAGUCAGAAGUCCGUCAUCAGGGCAUA